AACGAACGCUGGCGGCGUGUCUUAAGCAUGCAAGUCGUGCGGCAAGGGUAGCAAUACCCCUAGAGCGGCGGACUGGUGAGUAACGCGUGGGUGAUCUACCCUUGGGAUGGGGAUAGCCACUAGAAAUAGUGGGUAAUACCGAAUACGUUCCCCCGAUUUUGAUUAGGGGAGGAAAAGCGCUUCGGCGCUGCCCGAGGAUGAGCCCGCGUCCCAUUAGCUAGUUGGUGAGGUAACGGCCCACCAAGGCGAUGAUGGGUAGGCGGCUUGAGAGGGUGUACGCCCACACUGGGACUGAGAUACGGCCCAGACUCCUACGGGAGGCAGCAGCUAAGAAUAUUCCGCAAUGGACGAAAGUCUGACGGAGCGACGCCGCGUGGAUGACGAAGGCCGAAAGGUUGUAAAGUCCUUUUGUUGGGGAAGAAUAAGCGCGGGAGGGAAUGCCCGCGUGAUGACAUGAACCGACGAAUAAGCCCCGGCUAACUACGUGCCAGCAGCCGCAGUAA
rnacentral:rRNA from 1 species